CGCCUUCCAAACUGCUGGGAUUACAGACAUGAGUCACCACACCCGGCCAGAAAAAAAAAAUAACUUUUAUGAGUUAAAAAUACAAAACAGUCCUCGAGAAAGGAGAAAUGCCCUUCAUCACAUUCCAGCAGCAAACAGCCUGCCUAUAAACAACUUAAGCAAAGCAAUUUUUUUUUUUUUGAGACAGAGUCUCUGUCACCUAGGCUGGAGUGCAGUGGCGCAAUCUCGGCUUGCUGCCAGCUCCGCCUCCCGGGUUCACACCAUUCUCCUGCCUCAGCCUCCCGAGUAGUUGGGACUACAGGUGCCCCGCCACCACGCCCAGCUAAGCAACUAUUUUUUUUACUAUGGAGUCAGGAAGAAGGUUUGAGCAGCAAAAUUCUCCAUGCCCUGAAGACCUCCAUUGUACCAUCUGCUGUUCUCGGCACUGAGGGUCAUCCCCAACAAAGUCCCUGCUCUGAUGGAGUUUACACCCAAGAACGUUGUGGGUGUGGGUGUGGGUGGGAGUGGGAGAGAGGGCUGGAUGGGGAGAGGAGAAGAUAGAUGAUAGACAAUUCACUAUGCGUGACUCAGGAGGUGUCAAGCGCUAGAGAGCAAACCGGGGGCGCUCAGCAGUGUGAAGGUGGGUCUCACCUUUGAGAAAGAAGGUUCUCUGAUAGGAAGACAUUUGAGACCUGAAGGAAGUGAGGGAGGCAAUCGUGCAGGUACCUGGAGAAGAGUAUUACAGGCAGAGGGAAAUGGCAAGCACAAAAGCCCGGGGCAGGAAAGCGACUGGUGUAUUUGAAGCUCAAGAGGAAAGCCUGCGCAGCUGGAGCAGAGAGAGCAAGCGGGAGCCUGGAGGCAGCUGAAGAUGACCACGGAGAGGCCGAGCAGGAUCCCCCUGGCUGUUUUGAGAACAGACUGACAGGAAGCAAAGGUGGAAGCAGGAAGCCCAGGUAGGGAUGCUCUUACUAUAAUUCAGGCGAGUGAUGAUGUGGUUUGCACCAGGGUGGAAAUGGUGGAGGUGGUAG
rnacentral:lncRNA from 10 species